rnacentral:lncRNA from 1 species
ACAAUGGCCUAGGCUUUUCCGAUGCUGACCUGACACCAGCAGGAAAGAAUCACAAUAAAGCUCUGCAUAUCUCCAUUGAGUGUAAGGGGAUCACCUUGUCUCAUGUGUUGAUCGAUAAUGGCUCUUCUUUGAAUGUGCUACCGAAAGCUGUGCUCGAUAAACUUGACUGUAAAAGCAUUGAACUGAAACCUAGUGACAUUGUGGUGCGUGCUUACGAUGGUGCGAAGAGUGUUGUCCAUGGUGAAGUAGUCCUUCCUAUCAAGAUAGGACCUCAAGUCUUCAACACUACCUUCCAUGUAAUGAACAUUCGUCCUGCCUAUUCCUGCUUACUGGGACGCCCUUGGAUUCAUGGGGCAGGCGCUGUAGCCUCGUCUCUCCAUCAAAAGUUGAGGUAUCCCACAAAGGGCAAAAUUGUCACCGUGUGUGGAGAAGAAGAGUACAUUGUCAGUAGUGUGCAUACCUUCAGAUACGUCGAGAUGGAUGGUGAAUUCAUUGAGACUCCUUGUCAGUCAUUUGAAGUAGUUCCUCCGACCAAUCCUGUCCUUAAGCCAACUUCCUGUGUACCCAAGGUUAUUCGUGCUCCUCCUGCUAUGAUUUCUCUGAAGGACGCUCAAGCCGUGGUUGAAGAUGGUGGUCGUACUGGCUGGGGUCAAUUGAUCGACGUACCGUACAAGUCUGACAAAUUUGGCCUGGGGUUCAGCUCUGACAAGAGUCAAAUUAAUGCUGUAGAAGAUGCUGACAGCGAUUGCGACCUGGAUAGCUGGAUUUUCCCAACAAUUGGUGACGGACUCAAUAAUUGGAAGGCUGAAGACACUAUCCCGAUUUCCUUUAGUCAGGAGUAAUUGUUAUUGUCUAUUUUAGUGUUGCAAAUUUUUUUAUGUUUACAAUUGAACUUCUUAAAGCAUUGUGUCUAUGCCCGGGGCACAAUAGCUGAUUUGUUAAGGGUUUGUCAUUUCAUAAGCAUAUUUACAUUCGAUAAAUCAAUGGACUUUUUGCAUUCAAAUAUUGCGCUCUUUAUCUUUCCUGUCACCUUCCAAACAAGCUAUGUUUUCUUACACACACUCACGUAACAAAUUGCAGAUCCAUACCCACUCUGGAUCCUGUGGAUAAUAGUUCUACUACUGUUCAUUAUGACUUUGAAAAUCUGAUCUACCAAGCCGAGGAUGGAAGUGAGGUGGAUUGUGAAGUCCCUGGAGAACUUGCCAGACUAUUAUUGCAAGAAGAAAAGACUAUACAGUCGUAUGAGGAAUCAAUUGAAAUUGUAAAUCUGGGUACCGAGGUAGACAAGAAAGAAGUCAAAAUAGGAGCAGGCUUGGAGAACAGUGUCAAAGGAAGAUUGAUUCAGAUGUUACAUGACUAUGUAGAGAUUUUCGCUCGGUCUUAUGAAGACAUGCCAGGACUGGAUACUGAUAUAGUAGUGCAUCGUCUGCCAAUGAAGGAAGAUUGUCGUCCUGUUAAGCAAAAGGUUCGUCGCAUGUGUCCUGAAAUGUCUGAGAAAAUCAAAGCCGAGGUUAUGAAACAAUUUGAUGCAGGUUUUCUGGCUGUUACUUCUUAUCCUCAAUGGUUACCGCACCUGGCCCAGUACCGUAUUCCUCAAGCAAAGCCAUUCCUUGGAAUUAUGGAGGUGAUGUUUACAUCCAUGGCGUGAAGCAAGAUGAUAAUCCUGCUAAUCCUAAUGACGUUGACAUUGUUAGGACUAGUAGAAUUACUCGAAGUGGAAGGGUCUUUUCUCCAGAAAUCUCACCUCCCGUCCCUGAACCGCGAGGAAAGGAACCAGUCAACCCUUCUCAGUCAGAGACAUCGGUCGAAGUUACUACCGAAGAUGUUGCCAAACAAGAAAUGGAAGAAGUGCUGAAAAUCAUCCGCAAGAGUGAUUUUGAUGUGGUAGAAAAGUUGGGGCAUACCCCGUCUAAGAUCUCGAUGUUAUCCUUGUUGUUAUUUUCUGAAUCUCACACCAAUUCCUUGAUAAAAUUCUUGAAGACUGCUCAUGUACCUCAGGAAACAUCUGUCGAUCAGUUCGAAAAUUAUGUUGCUCAUUUGGCAGUCGACAAUGGCCUAGGCUUUUCCGAUGCUGACCUGACACCAGCAGGAAAGAAUCACAAUAAAGCUCUGCAUAUCUCCAUUGAGUGUAAAGGAAUCACCUUGUCUCAUGUGCUGAUCGAUAAUGGCUCUUCUUUGAAUGUGCUACCGAAAGCUGUGCUCGAUAAACUGGACUGUAAAGGCAUUGAACUGAAACCUAGUGACGCUGUGGUGCGUGCUUACGAUGGUGCAAAGAGCGUU